UUCGGAAUCAGGGCAGUCGCCCUUUGUCUGCUUCGGCAGGUGGAGGGAGGAAAGUCCGGACACCAAAGGAUAAUCCGCCCCGGGAAAGCUGGGGGCCGUUUGGGCGCAAGCCUGGGCGGACGGAAAGUGUCACAGAAAAAAUACCGCCUGGCGCAAGCCGGGUAAGGGUGAAAAGGCGGGGUAAGAGCCCACCACCUUUCGGGCAACCGAAAGGGAUGACAAACCACGGAUGGUGCAAGGCCGAACAGGGGGUACGGGUGAUCCGCCCGCUCCGCGCAAGCGGGGCA
rnacentral:RNase_P_RNA from 1 species